AAAUGCGAUAAGUAAUGUGAAUUGCAGAAUUCAGUGAAUCAUCGAAUCUUUGAACGCACAUUGCGCCCGCCAGUAUUCUGGCGGGCAUGCCUGUUCGAGCGUCAUUUCAACCAUCAAGCCCCCGGCUUGUGUUGGGGACCUGCGGCUGCCCGCAGGCCCUGAAAAACAGUGGCGGGCUCGCUGUCACACCGAGCGUAGUAGCAUACAUUCUCGCUCAGGGCGUGCUGCGGGUUCCGGCCGUUAAACGACCUUCAUAACCCAAGGUUGACCUCGGAUCAGGUAGGAAGACCCGCUGAACUUAAGCA
rnacentral:misc_RNA from 1 species